UACGUAGGGGGCAAGCGUUGUCCGGAUUUAUUGGGCGUAAAGAGCUCGUAGGCGGCUUGGCAAGUCGGGUGUGAAAACUUCAGGCUCAACCUGGAGCGGCCACUCGAUACUGCCAUGGCUUGAGUCCGGUAGGGGACCACGGAAUUCCUGGUGUAGCGGUGAAAUGCGCAGAUAUCAGGAAGAACACCCGUGGCGAAGGCGGCUCUCUGGGACGGUACUGACGCUGAGACGCGAAAGCGUGGGGAGCGAACAGG
rnacentral:rRNA from 1 species